GAGUUUGAUCUUGGCUCAGGAUGAACGCUAGCGGCAGGCUUAAUACAUGCAAGUCGAACGGGAUCCGGACUUCGGUUCGGUGAGAGUGGCGGACGGGUGAGUAACGCGUGGGAACCUGCCCAGUGGUGGGGGAUAACUGCGGGAAACUGCAGCUAAUACCGCAUGAGCCCGAGAGGGGAAAGAUUUAUCGCCAUUGGAGGGGCCCGCGUUCGAUUAGGUAGUUGGUGAGGUAACGGCUCACCUAGCCGACGAUCGAUAGCUGGUCUGAGAGGAUGAUCAGCCACACUGGGACUGAGAUACGGCCCAGACUCCUACGGGAGGCAGCAGUGGGGAAUAUUGGACAAUGGGGGCAACCCUGAUCCAGCAAUGCCGCGUGUGUGAAGAAGGCCUGAGGGUUGUAAAGCACUUUUGUUGGGGAGGAGAGUUAGGAGGUUAAGAGCUAUCUAACUGGACGAUACCCAAAGAAUAAGCACCGGCUAACUCCGUGCCAGCAGCCG
rnacentral:rRNA from 1 species